rnacentral:lncRNA from 1 species
GCCCUCCUCGGCUCCCGCGCCCGCCCCGCCUCGCCAUCGUCGAUGGCUCCGCCGAAUGUGAUCCCGAAGUACGCCAAGUUCGGCCGGUCCUCCCUCAUGAGCUGCUUCAGGGCGAUCCCGGCCGGCGAGCUGCGUCUGGGCUACUUCGCCAAGGACCUGCAACAGUUCAAUCUCGUCCGGCGGUCGCUGCUCGCCGCCGUCGGGAUCGUCGGCUUCUCUUCUUUGAAGGUCGGGCCACGUCUAUCCAUAAGGUGCCGGCGGCGAGUUUCAUCUAUUCUUUGUGUUGCUUCCUCCUUACAUGUUAGGUUCAAUGGGUGAUUCAGGACCAUGACAAGGAUGCUCU